rnacentral:lncRNA from 1 species
GGUUUAGUUAAUUCAGGAGUUCAAUGACAGUACCAGGGAAUCUUUUCAUGCCAUUUAUCUGUGCUACCUUUCUCAGUAUCAUCUGUCUCCCCUCUGGCUGGGUGUCCUCAUGGUCUCAAGAUGGCUGUCACAGUCCCGGGAAUCAAAAUCAGCAGACAGAUUAGGGAGGAACUCAACCUCCCCUGACACACAUAGCUGCAUAAUACAGACCCAGGGUUCUUGUGAGGCUGUAUUUGGUAGAGAAGAGUAUGUGAGAGUCUGAACCAAGAUAAAGUGGAGGAAGUUUUAGGAUGGGGCCUCCUGAUGUUUAACCUUGAGAAUUCAGAACAAGGGAUGUUUCCUGACAUCAUAAAAGAAGGUAUCUAUUUGAGAAAACUGGUAAAUAUAAAAAAUAGGAACUUCUAACUCAGAGAGGUGAUAGGUUGAAAAUUGUAAAAUG